GUAUCACGUGGCCACCUGCGAGAAAUUACGCGACGACAGCAUGGCGGAAGUCGGCAGAUGUCAGAAAAAUAAAAUAAAUAUAUUGUGUACUGCCUUAAUCUGAAAUAUGUGUAAAUUCAAGGGGAUUCUAUUCUCUUGUUAAGAUACAUGUACUUAAUGUGUAGCCAUGUGAUCAACUGUAAUAUUAUUAGUGGAACCGAUAGUCAUGGCCAGUCGAACAACAGCAAGUCCAUCUAGAAUACCAGUAUCUACAAGAAGUCCACCCAGAACUAUAAAUGGCAAAUUGACAGUAAAAGAAGCUAGACAAGCCUGUACACCAAGCUCAAGUCGUAAUGAUAGUUAUAAUCAAGCCUGUCAAAAUGGUUCCUUGAAUGAAUCGACAAGUAGUACAGGUUCAACAAAUAGUCAAAAAGGAAAAGGUUUUGAGACUUUUCUUAUGACGGGUGAUAUGAUCAUAAGGACCACGCCACCUCACCAAAAAACUCGACAGUCUGACGAUAAAUCGCCAUCCCCUUCUAUUGCUAGCUCCCAAUCAAGUCCUGAAAAAUUCAUAUAUCAUUCAGACGAGAAAGAAAAUAUAAACAAAAUGAACAGUGAAAAACACAAAAGCCCACAGAAAAUACCUGUUCAUAAAUCUUCUAAUAUUAAGCCUGAUCUUCCAAGAGCACCUGUCGCACGCCUUGAUGAAAUGACUGAAUUUUCUAUAUCACCUACAGAUUGUGACAUUCCUGACGUCACAGAAUUAGAAAACAAUAAAAACCUCAGUGAAAACAAACAAAUAUGUUUAGAUAUGUUGAUGACAGGAAAAAAUGCUAAUUUAGAUGGACUGAUUGCUUUAAAUGGAAAUCAUAAUUCUGAAACAACAGAUACUGAUAUUCCAAGCUCUGGUGAUAGUGGUGUUUUACCAGAUAGUCACAGUUCAGACUCUGAUUGUGGUGGAAAACUUACUCCAAAUACAGACCAAAACCCUGUGCCAAAUGCAGAUUCGAAACCAGCAAUGGUUACUAGUAAAAGUGCUGAAAAGAUCUCACCGAGUGCUACGAAAACUGACAUUGGACUUGUCCGUACAAGUAAGAGUCAUGAAAACUAUCUGGAAACUGGUACAGGUUUUCAGAUAGUUAGUAUAGAUAUUGAUGAUGACAAUAUGGCUUAUUCUUUAGAUACACUUACUUGUCAUGAAAGUUCAACCAAUUCAUUAGAAAAGGUUAGUGAUCAAACCCAGGUGUCCAAAAGUUGUCAUAGUUCGCCUGAACGCAAACAAGAUAAAAAGAAUGAGCGUGUAUUUAUGCCGGCUUUUAUAAACAUUGAUGAUCCGAAAUCUCAAAAAAAUAAAGGAAAAGAAAAAGAUGGAAGAGAACAAUUAACAGAGGAAUCUGUUUCAGUGUCUUUUAAUAAUUCUAAUAAACAAAGUGAUAAUUCUGUGUCACCUUCCAUUAAUACAGCGCAACAGGACAUGAAUUCUUCUUGUAGAGAAGGUGUUCUUGAUUUAUCUGCACUGUCUGAGGCUGAUAGUAUUUAUCAUCAACCAAUGAAAUCUGUAGAUCGCCCUUCUGCAGCAAGGUUGGCUAAGCGUUUGUAUGCUCUUGAUGGCUUUAGAAAAUCAGAUGUUUCAAGGCACCUAUUCAAAAAGAAUGAGUUCAGUAAUUUAGUUGCAGAAGAAUACUUGAAAUAUUUUCAAUUUACUGGUGAUUCCCUUGAUGUAUCAUUAAGGAAAUUCCUUAAACAAUUUUGCUUAACAGGGGAAACCCAAGAAAGAGAAAGAGUUUUGGCUCAUUUUUCUCAUCGUUAUAUGGAAUGCAACCCUGGAACAUUUAAUUCAGAAGAUGCUUGCCAUACUUUGACUUGUGCAAUAAUGCUUCUAAAUACAGAUCUUCAUGGUCAGAGUGUUGGAAGAAAGAUGACUUGCUCAGAAUUUAUAGAAAAUUUAGGAGAACUAAAUGAUGGUGAUAACUUUCCAAAAGAUAUUCUUAAAACUAUAUUUCACUCUAUUAAAUCUGAGCCAUUAGAAUGGGCCAUUGAUGAGGAUGCCCCGGUUGAAGUUCAAAAUGAAAGCCCUGGACCAUCAGCCUCCGUCCCACAACAUUUUAUUGGUCAAAAUCCAUUCUUAGAUGUGCCUGAUCCUAGUAAAACUAUAGAGUAUAAGAAAGGAUAUGUCAUGAGAAAAUGUUGUAUGGAUGCUGAUAGAAGAAGAACUGCCCUUGGUAAAAGAAGUUGGAAGAUGUUUUAUGCUGUAUUAAGAGAUAUGAUACUAUAUUUAUAUAAAGAUGAACAUCAGUAUAAAAAGGGUGGUUUAUUAGAGAGUGCUAGCAAUGCUAUUCGUGUACAUCAUAGUUUAGUUACUAAAGCCUCAGAUUACACUAAAAAACAGCAUGUUUUUAGACUUCAAACUGCAGAAUGGGCAGAAUUUCUCUUCCAAACCAGUAACAGUAAAGAGCUUCAAGAAUGGAUAGACACGCUCAAUUUUGUAGCUGCAACGUUCUCUGCACAGCCACUACCAGGAGCUCUGGGAUCCAAAAGCACCUUUCAACGUCCUCUGUUACCAGUUUCAUAUACAAGAAAGACAUUGAGGGAACAAUUUCAUAGUCAUGAAGAACAGGUUAAGUCUUUAGAACAAGAAAUACACGAACAUCAUGCUGCAGCCCCAGAAAAAGGCGCAAAGUCUCGCCAUAUACAGGACUACCUCGAAAAGGAGACAUAUUUAGAUUUUGAGCUGAAACGCUACAAAACUUAUGUUUACUUACUCCAGAGUAAAAUAACAGCAUUCCCAGAUGUCGAACCAUCUCUUGUUGAGACCACCAUUGGGGAAGAUGAAGAAGUUGGGGCUGGAGGCAGUCAGUUUAAUUGCCCUAAUAAGCCUGUACAGCGAAGUCUUUCUGAUAGGUACAGUUAUCGAGCAGCUAUAUAUCAAACUGAUCGUGUAGAUUAUGAUAUGGUUUAAUAUACAGCAACACAAAUUCUAUUAUAAAUUGCUUAUUAAUUUCAUUAUUCAUUUUACCCAUCUUGAGUUGUGCAUGGGUUGUGGCAUUCUGUAUAGUUGCUUCUUUGUUGGAGAUCUUUAUUUGGGGAGGUAGUAUUGUACAUGUAGAAUCAAUCCAAUUUAUACCAUCAAACGUUUCCUUCAUUGUGUGAUAUAAGGUGUUUGUUUUUAAUUUAUACUAAGAACUAUUGACCAUAGUGUUCCUAUCCAUUACAUAUAGCAUAAUACUAUGUAAUAUAUAGUUUUCUUGUAUAUUUAUUUUGGAAGUCGUUAUUCAAUAAUUUAUUAACUGUCAAUGUUAAUUGUGGAUGGUUGUUGCUAUCAGUGUGUAAUGGAGUAUGAUUUCUGUAGAAUGUUGUUCAUAUUGAUGGAAUUUAUUUUUCUGAAGGUAUUGUGCAUGUGUAUAUAGACGAUGUGUUUUGAAUACUGUAACCACUGCUUGCUUUCAAAGAUAAUCCUUCUAUUGUUAUUUAACGGUUGGUAUUGGUUCUUGUUUUCUGCUGUAGAUAUUAAAUGUUUCACAUCAAGAUGUUAUGUUGGAUUUCGUACACCUAAGUUAUUAGAAUCUACCACUUAAAACCGAUAAAACCAUUGAUUAUCUAGUCAUCUUAUUUGAAGGGAUUACUAGUUCCUACAUAUUUAUAGUGCUUGUGUACGAACAUAUAACAAUUACAUUAUCUUUCACUUUCAUUUUUUUAUACAUCUAUAUAUUUACAUAUAUACACAUAUUAUAUUCUUAUUUACUAUUAGCUUAAUAUUUACGCUUUUUCACAUACACGAAAAAAAAUUUGAUCUUCCAAUUUCCUGGUUUAGGAAGAUUAGUAUCUGCAUUUUUGUUGGUAUGUUAUUUAUGAAAUAAUUUAAACAUUUUAUCAUAGCAUAAUGGUCAUUACAAUCAUCUUUUGAAGUUAAAGCUGGUCUAAAAUAGUCUUGUGUGUGUUCUUUUAUAUUUAGAAGAUUUGCUAUAUAUGUUGAUUUUAGUUUCGUAACAUUUUUGCGUGAUGAAAACAAAGUCCAAUUCUUGCUCAAGAUAGAUAUUUUUCUUUUCUGUUUAUUCUUAUUGCUGACAGUAACAUAUUUGUUUCAAAGGACUAGGAAGUCUGGUUAAUUUUCCAGUAUUAUUUUCUGUUGCAAUUUUAUUUAUAAGUCAGUUGAAGAAAAACCUGGGUUAUUAAUGUAUUUGUAUCUUUACUGCCACAUGGAUAUAAUGUCUUGUAGUCUUGUUUAGUUUUAUUGUUUGUAAAUAUGUGAAAUGAAUACACUUAUCAGGAAAACUGAUAGAUGUCGACUAAAUGUUUAGAUUUUAAUCAAUUAAUACUCUAAAUGGCCUAUCAUUUGCUUCAGAUCUUUUUAAAACAAAUUUUGGCUGAGGUAAAAACUUGCUUUUAAAAUGGUUUUUGCUUUUCAUUAGAUAAUAUAAUUCUACACAGCAUAUAAAAUAUGAACUUGUUCAUGCAUGAUCACUUAAUUAGAUCUCAUCUUUCAUCAUUCAUAAUUUUAUAAUUUUACACUAAAAUAGUAGAAUCUAGUAUUGGGUCAAUGUAUUAAAAAUAUAAUAAGAUUUUUAUAAUUUAUUACUUGUUGAAGCAUUGGAUGUUAAUAAAUGAAUAGCUAUCAUUAAUUGUUAAUUAAGACAGAUAUAUUGUUAAUCAAUUAUGUGUUAAUUAUCACGUAUAUUUUUCACCAUCACAAACAUGUGUAUAUAUAAAAUCAUUCACUAUCGUAAAAUAAACUUUCAUGGAAGUUUUCACUGGCAAAGAUACUGUCAAGUAUUACCAUUAGAAUUACCAAUGUGUGCAUAAUAAUGUUUCUUUGUUGUUGGUAUUUAGUUUUAGUUUGUUAAUAGUAUAGUAUGAUGCUAUGUUUGUAGGCUUACCACUAUCAUUAUUUUCCACUUUCUUAUAGUAUAGGCGCCAUAACCAAGUAUAUAUAGCUUGAUCAUAUGUUUUUUAUGUUAAUCGGCAUAUCUGUAGUUCUGUGAUGAUGUCGUCAAGUUCGCCAUUAAAUGUAUAAAAACUAUUAUCAUAUCAUUGUUUCUUACAUACUACCAUUACUUGUACAUUUUAUAACUUAAACGUGACACUGUCUGGAACAGCAUAUGAACACUUACAAUAUGAUUAUCUGUAGGCUUCUGUUGUAUCUGCCUGGAAGGUAUGUUCAUGUUUUGUGCUAUUUUCACACUCUAAAGUUGAAUUUUAGUAUGACGAUAUGUGGAUAGAUAUAUCAAGUUUAUUUUUGUUUACAACUAAUCAGGAUUCAGAUAUUUUGAGCAAUCUGUGUUCUAUUUAUUAUUGCUUCAAUCAGGCGUUAUAAUCAGCAGUUUUAUGCUGUAGUGGGCAUUUUAAAUGGAUAUCAAAUUGGAUAUUGACAACGUUUAGCGGUUAAGAAUUUAAAAAGUUAAAUAUUUUUGGUAGUUUAAUUCAUGUAAAUAAUUUAAACUGCCAAGGCUGAUGGAUUUAUGUUAGACCUUGAUGCACAAAAUAUUAUAAUUUUGAACAUUGUGUUACUUAACUGUUAUGUUAGAAGUUUUUAUUGUACAAUGUAAAGUAAGGUAGGAAAGAGAUUAAAAUAUACUUCAAUCAUUAAACUGUCUUUUGUUGUCUUUUACAAUUUAACUUAUUAACCGGUAAAUGUAUGAUCGGCACAAUUUAUAUUUUGGAGGAAAGGCUUAGUUUCGUUUUGUGCAUAUUGUAUGGUUGAGGUUUUAUCAGUAGGUGCCAGGUAUUAUUUUCACAAAGCUGCUCGGCUUCAUGUUUGUGUAGAAUGGACAACCCCUAAAACUAACUGUGAUACAAGGUGCUUGAUGUCAACAAACUAGUACAAAAGCUACAGACACUCGUAAUGAAGAUCAGCACAUACGGAAGGGAAGUAGAUGACAAAGAGCAAUAUAUCAACGAUGAAACCAUUGAUACUUACCUUUAAAUUAAUAUACAUAUCAACUGUUGUGUUGAAGAACAAGCUAAUGCUAACCAUUUUGUAAUUGUUGAGCAUUAAGAGGUAUUAAUCCAAAACCAAAUCAAAAGUUUUAAUUCAUUAUAAAGUAAUUUGUUAAUUAAAUGCUAUUGUUUUGUCCUACCGCAUAUAUUGUGUGUUCAUGUCAUCUUGAUAUGUUUAAUUAAGGUUGUGUAUGUUAUAAAUUUAAGGACCAAUGUUUUUUUAUUUUAUGUUCUUGUACUUUUAUUACCAGUUUAGAUGAACCUGUCUCUGGCCAAGAUACAUGUAUUUAUUAUGACUAACAGUGAACCCUUCUCCUUACAUUUUAAUUAUAUAUUUUUUAAUGGAGUUUAUCUUUGCAUUUCCAACUAAAUAUUCAUUUAAUGAAAUCUGGCAUUUCCAACUGUUCCAUUUAAUGAAUUCUAUCUUGGUAUUGCUGAAAAAUAUUCAUGUCUACAUUUGCAUUUCUAAAGAAAAUAUUCAUUUAAUGAAGUCUUAUCUUUGCAUUUCAAUAUUUUAACAAAAGAUUAUUUUGUUAACUUAAAUCAAAUCCUGUCUCUUGAUUUUGACAAGACACUUCUAGUUGUACCAGAUAAACAGUACUACUUUAGAUAAAACAAUUUAUUGAUUGCUUUUGGUUACUAGUAUAUUAUAUUGAUACUGUUUUGAAAUUUCUGUCAAUAUUUACUCUUCAGAAGUUAUUUUAUACUGUUCCAAGUACAGAUUGAAACAUGAAACACUAUUUUAAUCAAAUUGUCCAGUCUAACACUUUUCUGUAAACACAAGCUAAUGUCCAUUGAUGUUGGGCGAGAAUCCAGCUUAAUUCUAUAGGGCCAAAUCUCAUGUAAUACUUCUGAAGUCUCAAUUGUAUAAUUUUGUAUGAUGUUCUUGUAUUUUAUACUGGUUGAAUAUCAGAUGUAAUAAAGACAAAGCACACAAGUUUUAUUCAAAUAUAAUAGAAAUGUUAUCUGUGUUAUUGUAGAGUGACAUAUUUAAUUAAAGCAGUAUUGUAGAUUA